GGGCGUGGCUUGGAGCGGAUAUGAAGACUGUGGGAACCUCCGGCCUCUCUUUCUCGGUUUCCUGGCUGCCCCUAGGCUGUGGGCCGCCUCCUCUGGCGCAUAUUCCCACGGAAGCAGACUGUGCCACCCCGAGGGCCCUGAGCCAGUGCAAGCCUCUCCUGCUUUCAGUUACGAGCCCAGGUGUCAGGAGAAUGCUAAACUAUAAGGAAGAAUGAGAAAAAGACAUGGAAACUGAGUCAGAUAUUGAAGCAAAUUAAAAGAAGUCACUCCACAGAGCUCUACUGUAAAAUAGAUCGGAGAUAAAGGUCUGUGAGCUGAACUGAUACGGAUUUGUACUUACGGAUUCAUCCACUGCUUUGGUGCAGUUUGGGUGGCUAUCACAAAAGCCUGUCUUUCCCAGAUGGACUCAGGCUGACAGGCAGAGUGGAGGGACCCGUCCAAGGUUGCACAGCUUCCAAAAGAAGCCUGGAGUGAAUCCAAGGUGUAUCCAGGAUCUGGAGAUUUCUUGGUCUUUGGGUUUCACUUCUGAGUACGGGCUGAGCAGUUCUUACUACAGUGGACCCUUGGCUUGUGAACUCAAUUGGUUCCCGAAGGCUGGUUGUAACUCAAGUUGAUUGUGGACAAUUUGGUGCAUGAAGAACAUUCAUAUCUGUGCAGCAGCCAUCACCACCACCAUUUCCAGAACUUUCUCAACACCCUAACUGAAAUUCUACCUGUUUGACACUUAUCACAUAACCACCGUCCAGAGGUAUUCAGACUACUUGGUCAUUUUUUAAAUUGCAGUACAUGUUUUUCAAAAUUGAGAUCGUAUGUACUCUGGGAAUUAACUCUGUCAGAUGCCAUGAGGCAAAAAAGUUUUCCUCCAACAUGCUCUUCUGCUGCCAUGAUGUAUUGUGCUGCCAUUGGUCCAAAGCAACAGGACCAAGUGAUUGUG
rnacentral:lncRNA from 1 species